rnacentral:rRNA from 1 species
AUUGAACGCUGGCGGAAUGCUUUACACAUGCAAGUCGAACGGCAGCACGGGGGCAACCCUGGUGGCGAGUGGCGAACGGGUGAGUAAUACAUCGGAACGUGCCCAGUCGUGGGGGAUAACGUAGCGAAAGUUACGCUAAUACCGCAUACGAUCUACGGAUGAAAGCGGGGGACCGUAAGGCCUCGCGCGAUGGGAGCGGCCGAUGUCAGAUUAGGUAGUGGGUGAGGUAAAGGCUCACCAAGCCGAGGAUCUGUAGCUGGUCUGAGAGGACGGACAGCCCCACUGGGACUGAGACACGGCCCAGACUCCUACGGGAGGCAGCAGUGGGGAAUUUUGGACAAUGGGCGCCAGCCUGAUCCAGCCAUUCCGCGUGCAGGACGAAGGCCUUCGGGUUGUAAACUGCUUUUGUACGGAACGAAAAGGCUCUGGUUAAUACCUGGGGCUCAUGACGGUACCGUAAGAAUAAGCACCGGCUAACUACGUGCCAGCAGCCGCGGUAA